AGUGAACGCUGGCGGUAGGCCUAACACAUGCAAGUCGAACGGCAGCACAGUAAGAGCUUGCUCUUACGGGUGGCGAGUGGCGGACGGGUGAGGAAUACAUCGGAAUCUACUUUUUCGUGGGGGAUAACGUAGGGAAACUUACGCUAAUACCGCAUACGACCUACGGGUGGAAGCAGGGGAUCUUCGGACCUUGCGCGAUUGAAUGAGCCGAUGUCGGAUUAGCUAGUUGGCGGGGUAAAGGCCCACCAAGGCGACGAUCCGUAGCUGGUCUGAGAGGAUGAUCAGCCACACUGGAACUGAGACACGUUCCAGACUCCUACGGGAGGCAGCAGUGGGGAAUAUUGGACUAUGGGCGCAAGCCUGAUCCAGCCAUACCGCUUGAGUGAAGAAGGCCUUCGGGUUGUAAAGCCCUUUUGUUGGGAAAGAAAAGCAGCAGGUUAAUACCCCGCUGUUCUGACGGUACCCAAAGAAUAAGCACCGGCUAACUUCGUG
rnacentral:rRNA from 1 species